UUCCCUAGUUUGAUUAGGGAAGUCAUUUUCCCCAUUUUUAAGGAACUUGUUUUCCUAAAGAAAAUGUUUUUCAAAAAUUUUGACCAAACGAACAUGAGAAAUUGGAAAACAUUUUUCCCUCAUACGAACACACCCUAAAUGUUAUCAAAGCACUUCUGUCUGUUGCUUCCCUUCUGAGUAAAGGAGAGGAAGGGAGGAGCAGUGGCAUUUCAAUAUAGUUUGAGUUGUCUACUUUCCUGAUUUAAUUGCUUCUUCAAUUUAAUGUCAAAGUUCAAGGCAAAAACAGACGUCAAGUUUGGAGAUCUAAACUUGGCUCUUUAAUUAUUUCUUUCAAAGCGCGAAACCUGAAGUUAUAGUAGUCCAGGUUUCUAACAAUGCCAAAAGAUUACUUCCUUUCUUCCUUACGGAAAAGAUUAUUUUCCUUCAUCUCAUUGCUUUUACUGAUUCAAUCCGAAGUUUGUGUUAUGAAUUUAAUUCCUUUGUAUGCUUGGAUAGCAGAUCUGACUAGGUUGAAACUGCAACAUCCUUUACAACAAUAGUAUAGGUAUUGCCAAGCUAUCUUCAUGAUGUUAAUCAACCCGUCAGCAAGGGGGGAUGUCAAUUCUCUCUUCAAAGUGCAAUUUAGGACCAUGGGGUGUUCUAAUCUUUUCAAGGUUCUUAUACAUAUUAUUGAUUUUUCUUGGGUGUUGGGCAACAUUUAUCCUGUGUAACGCUGUAAGCUGUUACGCUAUGUCAUCGGCUGUGGUGCUAGUUCUCUCUGACUAAUCAUUUUCUUUUCCUUGUGUUAUUGCCUUCCUCUCAGAGAGAAAAAAAAAAAAAAAGAUCCUAAAAAACAUGUAUAAACAGGUGCCACGUUUUGCAGGCCAUUCUGUCUAGUACAUUUGUGAAGAAUGAUUUUAUCACUGGUCAGAGGUCAUGUUUUUGUGGGCUUACGGAUGCAAUCGCACUAUCCAUCUUUAUGACUGGUGCAUUCGUUGGAUUCUUGAGGAUGGCAAAAGAUCUGGACUUCGAUUCUUUCUUUAAGAAUGGUUACUGCUAGCAAACUUUGUACGUCGCCAAUAACUUUCUACAACCGUUUACAAUAGGAGGCAGGGGAGACACACGGGGGAAAGAAAGCGAGGUUUCUUGGUGGACUGAUAUACUUUGCACUGAAAGACUGCAUUUCUUCGUAUUCUGUGUACAGGAAAAUCAGGCGUUAAAUAAGAAACCCAAUAAGGCAUUAUAGUAUGUGUUCUCUGUUUAUUAUGUACAAUUCCAACUUUGUUUAGUUUGAGGUAAAAUGGGAAAUGUACACUGCAAUUCCACAAACUCCAUCCUUGAUUGUUUCAGCAAAGUCGGAUUAUUAUUAGACAAAGAAUACCUGACUUUUUGUUUCAAUUAAUACUUUGGCUUCAGCUGUAAAAGGGAAGUUUGAUCA